GACGAACGCUGGCGGCGUGCUUAACACAUGCAAGUCGAACGGAAGGCCCUGCUUUUGUGGGGUGCUCGAGUGGCGAACGGGUGAGUAACACGUGAGUAACCUGCCCUUGACUUUGGGAUAACUUCAGGAAACUGGGGCUAAUACCGGAUAGGAGCUCCUGCUGCAUGGUGGGGGUUGGAAAGUUUCGGCGGUUGGGGAUGGACUUGCGGCUUAUCAGCUUGUUGGUGGGGUAGUGGCUUACCAAGGCUUUGACGGGUAGCCGGCCUGAGAGGGUGACCGGCCACAUUGGGACUGAGAUACGGCCCAGACUCCUACGGGAGGCAGCAGUGGGGAAUAUUGCACAAUGGGCGGAAGCCUGAUGCAGCAACGCCGCGUGCGGGAUGACGGCCUUCGGGUUGUAAACCGCUUUCGCCUGUGACGAAGCGUGAGUGACGGUAAUGGGUAAAGAAGCACCGGCUAACUACGUG
rnacentral:rRNA from 1 species